UAGAGGUAUCAUAAUUUGAUAAGCAAACCAGUUGUAGGGUACCUCUUACUUGGCAAGCAAUGGUGAUUGUUGCAAACAUUGCAGAAUUUGAUCUCGGUGGCUUGCCAAAGGAGAGUUGCCCUAUGACUGUUUUAGCUUAAACUAACGUACUCAAGAAAAUGCCAUCGUAGCAGACCAUUACUCUGCUGCCUACCUAUGCAAAAGGUUCCAUCAUCACCAUGCAAAUCAAAAACAGAGAAAAAGACCAUACAAAGUGCACAAGCAUGAUGUCCAAAAUGUCUAUUAUCAAAAAACAGUUGAGGCGAAUUUGUUGCAAAUUACAUCUUAUCAGCUGGGGCACUAGGAAGCCCACUACUGAUGCUGAGUGGAAAUGGACCUGGCUCUCAUCUUCAGGACCAUGGCAUCCUAGUGGGUAGACCAGCUCAUGGUUGGCCGAGGGAUGACUGAUAAUCCAAUGAAUGUACUAUCCAUUCCCUCCCCUAUCUCAGUUGAGGUCUCACUUUUCAUAACCCAUUUUUGAGUUAUUCUCAUAUUCAUUUUCUUUUUAAAAAACAAAAACUGAAACAGUGCCGUUUUGAACGGCACUGUUCUUCUUUCCCUGCACAUGCAGAGGCAAGGGAAGAAGAGAUUUGCUCCCCUGUUUUUUUCCCCGCUCCCUCUCUCUCCCACCUGUCUAAGCACUGACAAAACCCAAGCCCGUCACCUGCCACCAGACGAAAAAAACAGAGGGCACAACCCCUGCGGGCAGCUGCCCAGUGGCCGCCCGGCCACUCCCUACCCCUGUGCCAUGACUGGACAGGGGUAGUAGACCUCUCUCCCCACUUUUUCCCCAUAAAGACCAAUAGAAAGAGAGGAACAGGGAGGCUGAGAGAGAAAAAAAGACCAGAAAUGGAGAAAAUCGGUGAGAGGAAAGAAGAGGAAUAGAAACAGAGCAGAAGCAAAGACAAGAAAAAACAGAAAAACAAAGGAACAAGAAGCAGAGGAAGAACGCCCAUUACACCGCAGCAGCUGCCACCGUUCCUCGCCGCGAACCACCGUUGUUCUUCCUCUCCACCGCCACCGCCAGAGAACAUAAGGAGAAGAACAGACCAAACUAAGGGAAGGGGCUGAGAUAGCAGAACAGUGGAGAGAUCCUCCACUGUUUACGGGGCCGCGCCGGCUCAACCCAAAAUGAGUGGAUUGGGUCCGGCUCAAUUAAAAAACAAUUCAAAAAAUAUUUUUAAAAAGUUGUGAUUUUCUCGUGUAUUUUUCUAUCCAUUUUAAUUAAUAUCAGUUUUUAUUUUUAUGCCGUAAA